UACGUAGGUGGCGAGCGUUGUCCGGAUUUAUUGGGCGUAAAGCGCGCGCAGGCGGCGGGCUAAGUCCGGCGUGAAAUCUCCUGGCUCAACUGGGAGGGGGCGCUGGAGACUGGCUGGCUGGAGGGACCGAGAGGCCGGUGGAAUUCCCGGUGUAGUGGUGAAAUGCGUAGAGAUCGGGAGGAACACCUGUGGCGAAGGCGGCCGGCUGGGGGUCACCUGACGCUGAGGCGCGACAGCGUGGGGAGCGAACCG
rnacentral:rRNA from 1 species